rnacentral:lncRNA from 1 species
UUUUGUCCAAUGUAGCAUUAUCUUGUGUAGAUUAAGCCAGUCAAACUGUGGGCGGUGCGUCUGCUCAGCCAGAUUCGAUUCUUUCCUUGCGAUCGCAGGCAACUCAUGGUCUAAAAGGGAGGGGAAUGCCCAGCUGCGCUGCUUUCAGCGUGACCAACUGAAGGGAAUGACACACCACAUGCUCGUCUCAUACGACCGGAGCUGAAAGAUCGAUCUUGGCACAUGUUAUAAGACAUGAUCAUUACCGAUUAAUUUCAGUCACUGUAUCCGAAUGAUACGACAAGCCGCCUUUGAUUGAUUGAUUGAUGUUCCAUGGAACAUUCGUAUUACAGAGGCUAGCUACUAGGGCUACUAGCUAGCUUCCGAUGCGGAAAGAAGAAGAAGAAAGGGGAAUGAAAUCAGUAGCUGUGUAGGCUAGCAGUCUGCCGCCGAUCUCGUCGGCCUUCGGCGCAGGACGUCACCCAGCGGCCUGCAGACGAAUCAAGAGGACCAUGUUAGAUAGUUACUACAGUUUACUGGUGGAUCGAUCGGCCUGAUCACGGGAGCUUAAUCACCUAGGAGGUGGGAUCGGAUUCGGCGGGGAGCUGCUGCAGCGGAGGCGGCUGCGGGUCCUGGUGGUCGUGGAGGAGCGCGCGGGUCUCGUGGAUCCGGAAGCGGGUGGCGGCCACCACCCGCUUGAGCCGGCGCCGCUUGCCGUAGUUCUCCUCCAGGCGGCGCUGCAGCUCNNNNN